UACGUAGGGUGCAAGCGUUGUCCGGAAUUAUUGGGCGUAAAGAGCUCGUAGGCGGUCUGUCGCGUCGGAUGUGAAAACCCAGGGCUCAACCCUGGGCCUGCAUUCGAUACGGGCAGACUAGAGUUCGGUAGGGGAGACUGGAACUCCUGGUGUAGCGGUGAAAUGCGCAGAUAUCAGGAGGAACACCGGUGGCGAAGGCGGGUCUCUGGGCCGACACUGACGCUGAGGCGCGAAAGCCAGGGGAGCGAACGGG
rnacentral:rRNA from 1 species